CUAUAGGCUUUAAUCGUUUCAUC
rnacentral:siRNA from 1 species